AUUGAACGCUGGCGGCAGGCCUAACACAUGCAAGUCGCGCGAGCGGCGGACGGGUGAGUAAUGUAUGGGGACUGCCCGAUAGAGGGGGAUAACUACUGGAAACGGUGGCUAAUACCGCAUACUAUCGGAUAACCCAUAUGGGAGUGGCUAGUAGGUGGGGUAAAGGCUCACCUAGGCGACGAUCUCUAGCUGGUCUGAGAGGAUGAUCAGCCACCCUGGGACUGAUACACGGCCCAGACUCCUACGGAGGCAGCAGUGGGGAAUAUUGCACAAGGGGCGCAAGCCUGAUGCAGCCAUGCCGCGUGUAUGAAGAAGGCCUUAGGGUUGUAAAGUACUUUCAGCGGGGAGGCGUUACCCGCAGAAGAAGCACCGGCUAACUCCGUGCCAGCAGCCGCGGUAAUUC
rnacentral:rRNA from 1 species